GGGACAUUCUGAUGGUUACCAGGUCAACAUGAACAGUGGGUUAAUAUGGAUCUUUGGAGCCUGUCUGUCGGUGUGUCUGUGGAGAGCCUGUCAAUGUAAUUGCCCCUAUCAAACCUAUUUGGAAAAUAUGGUAGUUAAACUGCCGAAAAACUAUUUGUUCUUUGUGAAGAUAGAGGAUAAAUCAUGUUCCAGAAGUGUCCAAGAUGCCCUUCACUUGCUCUACUGCCAAAACCAAUCCUUAUUCAACGAUUCAGUCUUUUAUCUACUGUCACAGUGCUUUAAUGUAACGAAAUCUGAUCUGUACUGUAAUGACACAUGCACCACAUUUGACAUGGACGCGGACAUCUACCCUGUGGAAGACUUCACGUGUUUGGUUAAAAAGUCGAUUAAUGAUUCAGAAAAUUGUACCUACCAUAGUUUUGUUUCUUUAAAAACAUGCUUAUACCCUACGCAAGAGGCAUCCCCACAAACACCUGGAUUGAAUUGUAGACCAGUCUCACAGAAACCAUCACCUUCAUCAGUAGCAGCAACUGCAGCCCCAAUAACAUCAUCAUUUACAUUGUCAGCAACAUCAGACCGCAGCAACACAGGGACUGGCAUAGGUAUGAUGUAA
rnacentral:lncRNA from 1 species